UUGUCGGUGAUCAUGGUGCAUUCGUUGUUGCCGUCGAAGGUCAGAUUCGCGUGUCACCGACGUGUGCGUGUGGAAUCGGUCUUCCGUCAUCGCAGGUCUCCGUUCAGUGAGGCGGACUUCCUCCUCUGUUUUCGUCAUUUGGUUCUUCUUCUUUCCUGCUCUGUGACGCUGUGUCGAUCAGCUCGGGGGUGGAGAAAAUGAUUAUAGUUUUCCAAUUUGAAAGUGAAGCUUGGGGAGUUUAUUUUAGUUGACCUACUUCGAGUUGACUAUUGAGGGGCUAUCUUUUGACGUGAAGUGAAGAAGUUAUUGACCAGCUUGGAUGUAAAAUUUAAAAUUUUGAAUUUAUGUUUUGUAUAUUUUAUUUAGACGCUCCACAUAAACUAUAGUUAGGACAUUCAUAUAUAUAUAUAUAUAUAUAUAUAUAUACAUGAUUUGUCAAUUAGAAGGAGCAUAGCUCUUUGUUGAUGCUAUUUUAUACUGAGGAAUGUCGUCAUAGAAUUUUCAGGAAGUCUUAUUUUAUGGGGAGAUUCUAUCAAAAAUUGUUUUUACAAAAGCAUUAAGUCUUCUGUUCUUAUUAUUCAUAUUGGACAUGGUUCGAUUUAUUUUCAAAUGUCUUAGUGGUUUAGAAAUUAGAGUUCGUUAUGUUAAGGCUUUCGAGAUAUAGGUUUUGUUUUCAUAUUUCGUACUGGUCAUUCCUUAUUUUCAAGGAGUGACACAUGCUUAGGAAGAUAUUGUCUCAGCAAACCUAAAAGACACCUACUCUAACGAAGUUGCUUGCUUCUCUGCAAUGCUUAUUUUCUGCUGGAAAAUAGAAAUCACACCACAUGGAAUAGUGAUACAUAGACUCACACGACACAAUGGGGAAAGGGACAACAUGUGCGUCAAGCCGUCAACCCAAAGAAACUAAAUGGGUGACAACUUUAGAACAAUGACGAGUGAAGCUUGGCAAGUUACAUUCGUACUCUCAUGAUGACCAAAACAGACAUCAAAGAUGCUAUAUUAACCCAAAACCUCCAAUCUGGUGUCUUGCCGCGUGGAUGUGGUUGCUCGACCUUCAAAACAAGACCAGAAUCACUAGCUAAUUAUUUGAAAGGCCAAGGCCAAGCACGCUGCUUUCUCUCUUCAUGUCACUAUUGCUUUCAUCUGGUAGUACCAAGAUUAGCGAUCAACAAUGUCCAACAUGCGUGUCUUCUUUUAAGGAACUAUAUGUCUAUCAAAUAAAAGUUUUUGAAUAUCUCUUUGUACGACGUAUAUAUACUGAAUAAUUAACAUCAUGCAUCAAUGAUAAAUAACUCAA